rnacentral:rRNA from 1 species
GACGAACGCUGGCGGCGUGCUUAACACAUGCAAGUCGAACGGAAAGGCCCUGCUUUUGUGGGGUGCUCGAGUGGCGAACGGGUGAGUAACACGUGAGUAACCUGCCCUUGACUUUGGGAUAACUUCAGGAAACUGGGGCUAAUACCGGAUAGGAGCUCCUGCUGCAUGGUGGGGGUUGGAAAGUUUCGGCGGUUGGGGAUGGACUCGCGGCUUAUCAGCUUGUUGGUGGGGUAGUGGCUUACCAAGGCUUUGACGGGUAGCCGGCCUGAGAGGGUGACCGGCCACAUUGGGACUGAGAUACGGCCCAGACUCCUACGGGAGGCAGCAGUGGGGAAUAUUGCACAAUGGGCGGAAGCCGGAUGCAGCAACGCCGCGUGCGGGAUGACGGCCUUCGGGUUGUAAACCGCUUUCGCCUGUGACGAAGCGUGAGUGACGGUAAUGGGUAAAGAAGCACCGGCGAACUACGU